rnacentral:rRNA from 1 species
GAUGAACGCUGGCGGCGUGCCUAAUACAUGCAAGUCGAGCGAAUGGAUUAAGAGCUUGCUCUUAUGAAGUUAGCGGCGGACGGGUGAGUAACACGUGGGUAACCUGCCCAUAAGACUGGGAUAACUCCGGGAAACCGGGGCUAAUACCGGAUAACAUUUUGAACCGCAUGGUUCGAAAUUGAAAGGCGGCUUCGGCUGUCACUUAUGGAUGGACCCGCGUCGCAUUAGCUAGUUGGUGAGGUAACGGCUCACCAAGGCAACGAUGCGUAGCCGACCUGAGAGGGUGAUCGGCCACACGUGGACUGAGACACGGCCCAGACUCCUACGGGAGGCAGCAGUAGGGAAGCUUCCGCAAUGGACGAAAGUCUGACGGAGCAAUGCCGCGUGAGUGAUGAAGGCUUUCGGGUCGUAAAACUCUGUUGUUAGGGAAGAACAAGUGCUAGUUGAAUAAGCUGGCACCUUGACGGUACCUAACCAGAAAGCCACGGCUAACUACGUGCCAGCCGCCGCGGUAA